CACUGGUGAAUAAGGGGUGGGCAAGUUCUGGUGUCAGCCGCCGCGGUAAAACCAGCACCUCAAGUGGUCAGGAUGAUUAUUGGGCCUAAAGCAUCCGUAGCCGGCUUUGUUAGUUUUCGGUUAAAUCCAUGUGCUCAACGCAUGGGCUGCCGAAAAUACUGCAUAGCUAGGGAGUGGGAGAGGUAGACGGUACUCAGUAGGAAGGGGUAAAAUCCUUUGAUCUAUUGAUGACCACCUGUGGCGAAGGCGGUCUACCAGAACACGUUCGACGGUGAGGGAUGAAAGCUGGGGGAGCAAACCGGAUUAGAUACCCGGGUAGUCCCAGCUGUAAACGAUGCAGACUCGAUGAUGCAUUGGCAUAAUAGCCAAUGCAGUGUCGCAGGGAAGCCGUUAAGUCUGCCGCCUGGGAAGUACGUACGCAAGUAUGAAACUUAAAGGAAUUGGCGGGGGAGCACCACAAGGGGUGAAGCCUGCGGUUCAAUUGGAGUCAACGCCAGAAAUCUUACCCGGAGAGACAGCAGAAUGAAGGUCAAGCUGAAGACUUUA
rnacentral:rRNA from 1 species